GAAUGCUGACAUAAGUAACGAUAAAGCGGGUGAAAAGCCCGCUCGCCGGAAGACCAAGGGUUCCUGUCCAACGUUAAUCGGGGCAGGGUGAGUCGACCCCUAAGGCGAGGCCGAAAGGCGUAGUCGAUGGGAAACGGGUUAAUAUUCCCGUACUUGGUGUUACUGCGAAGGGGGGACGGAGAAGGCUAUGUUGGCCGGGCGACGGUUGUCCCGGUUUAAGCGUGUAGGUGUGUGUUCCAGGUAAAUCCGGUUCACUUUAACACUGAGGCGUGAUGACGAGGCACUACGGUGCUGAAGUAACAAAUGCCCUGCUUCCAGGAAAAGCCUCUAAGCAUCAGGUAACAUCAAAUCGUACCCCAAACCGACACAGGUGGUCAGGUAGAGAAUACCAAGGCGCUUGAGAGAACUCGGGUGAAGGAACUAGGCAAAAUGGUGCCGUAACUUCGGGAGAAGGCACGCUGACACGUAGGUGAAGUGAUUUACUCACGGAGCUGAAGUCAGUCGAAGAUACCAGCUGGCUGCAACUGUUUAUUAAAAACACAGCACUGUGCAAACACGAAAGUGGACGUAUACGGUGUGACGCCUGCCCGGUGCCGGAAGGUUAAUUGAUGGGGUCAGCGCAAGCGAAGCUCCUGAUCGAAGCCCCGGUAAACGGCGGCCGUAACUAUAACGGUCCUAAGGUAGCGAAAUUCCUUGUCGGGUAAGUUCCGACCUGCACGAAUGGCGUAAUGAUGGCCAGGCUGUCUCCACCCGAGACUCAGUGAAAUUGAACUCGCUGUGAAGAUGCAGUGUACCCGCGGCAAGACGGAAAGACCCCGUGAACCUUUACUAUAGCUUGACACUGAACAUUGAGCCUUGAUGUGUAGGAUAGGUGGGAGGCUUUGAAGUGUGGACGCCAGUCUGCAUGGAGCCGACCUUGAAAUACCACCCUUUAAUGUUUGAUGUUCUAACGUGGACCCGUUACCCGGGUUGCGGACAGUGUCUGGUGGGUAGUUUGACUGGGGCGGUCUCCUCCUAAAGAGUAACGGAGGAGCACGAAGGUUGGCUAAUCCUGGUCGGACAUCAGGAGGUUAGUGCAAUGGCAUAAGCCAGCUUGACUGCGAGCGUGACGGCGCGAGCAGGUGCGAAAGCAGGUCAUAGUGAUCCGGUGGUUCUGAAUGGAAGGGCCAUCGCUCAACGGAUAAAAGGUACUCCGGGGAUAACAGGCUGAUACCGCCCAAGAGUUCAUAUCGACGGCGGUGUUUGGCACCUCGAUGUCGGCUCAUCACAUCCUGGGGCUGAAGUAGGUCCCAAGGGUAUGGCUGUUCGCCAUUUAAAGUGGUACGCGAGCUGGGUUUAGAACGUCGUGAGACAGUUCGGUCCCUAUCUGCCGUGGGCGCUGGAGAACUGAGGGGGGCUGCUCCUAGUACGAGAGGACCGGAGUGGACGCAUCACUGGUGUUCGGGUUGUCAUGCCAAUGGCACUGCCCGGUAGCUAAAUGCGGAAGAGAUAAGUGCUGAAAGCAUCUAAGCACGAAACUUGCCCCGAGAUGAGUUCUCCCUGAGACUUUAGGUCUCCUGAAGGAACGUUGAAGACGACGACGUUGAUAGGCCGGGUGUGUAAGCGCAGCGAUGCGUUGAGCUAACCGGUACUAAUGAACCGUGAGGCUUAACCUUACAA
rnacentral:rRNA from 1 species